CACCCUACGGGACGCAACAGUGGGGAAUAUUGCACAAUGGGGGAAACCCUGAUGCAGCGACGCCGCGUGAGUGAAGAAGUAUUUCGGUAUGUAAAGCUCUAUCAGCAGGGAAGAAAAUGACGGUACCUGACUAAGAAGCCCCGGCUAACUACGUGCCAGCAGCCGCGGUAGUACGUAGGGGGCAAGCGUUAUCCGGAUUUACUGGGUGUAAAGGGAGCGUAGACGGCGCGGCAAGUCUGAAGUGAAAGGCAGGGGCUUAACCCCUGAACUGCUCUGAAAACUGCCAUGCUAGAGUGCUGGAGAGG
rnacentral:rRNA from 1 species